CCCACGUGGUGCAAGGCGGGCUCGGCGGCCGAGCGGGGGACGCCCAAUGAGAGCAGGGUGCGGAGCUUCCUCCGCCGCUCUCCCAUCAUCCUUUGCAGCGCGAGGGCGGGACUUCCUCUGGCCUGGAUCCAGGCAGCAGCUGCUUCCUUCAGGGCGGGGCCGGAAGCGUCGCUCCCUGAUGACGUCAUCAAUGUGCGCAGCUCCGCCCCC
rnacentral:lncRNA from 1 species